GUAAAGUGACAAUCACAAGAAAGUAAAUUUAUAAAAUAACAAAAAAUUGUUGGAAAUAAACAGCAGAAGUUGCCUGACUUGCUGAGGAUUUCCAGUAUUUUCAGUUUUAAAUUUAAUUUCUGGCAGCUGCAGUUUUUUUUGCUUUCAAGAAUUUCAAAAUGGCUACAGAGGUGGGGAGCAAAGGCUGAGGACUGUAAAAGACAAAAGAAUGUGAUCCAUGGAAACAGAAGUGAUUCUACAUUAAAAGAGAGCGAUCAGUGUGGAAGGAAUUGGUCAUCAGACAUGAAGGAACAAAAAUUAAAAAUCAAAAACUGCAGAUGCUGGAAAACUGAAAUGAAAACAGAAAAUUCAGAAAACACGCAGCAGGUCAGACAACAUCUGUUGAAAGAGAAACAGAAUAAAUGUCUCCAGUCAAGAUCGCUUCAUCAGAACUGGGAAAGAAAGAACAAGUUACGUGGUAACAGGCCCUUCCGGUCCAAUGAGUCCGUGCAGCCCAUUUUAAACUCAUGUUAACCUACCCGUACGUAGUUUGGAAUGUGGGAGGAAACCAGAGCACCUGGAGGAAACCCACACAGACACGGGAGAACGUACAAACUCCUUACAGACAGCGACGGGAAUCGAACCCCGAUGGCUGACGCUGUAAUAGCGUCGUGCUAACUGCUACGCUACUGUGCCGCCUUAUAAUAUUAUAAAGGUUGUAAUCUCUUGGUCAGGCAGAGCUGCUGAACUCCGCUUUUAGCAGUCUGAGUUUUCGAUGAUAUCAUGCUACAAUAAAGAU